AUUGAACGCUGGCGGCAUGCCUUACACAUGCAAGUCGAACGGUAACGGGCCUUCGGGUGCCGACGAGUGGCGAACGGGUGAGUAAUACAUCGGAACGUGCCCGAUCGUGGGGGAUAACGAGGCGAAAGCUUUGCUAAUACCGCAUACGAUCUACGGAUGAAAGCAGGGGACCGCAAGGCCUUGCGCGGACGGAGCGGCCGAUGGCAGAUUAGGUAGUUGGUGGGAUAAAAGCUUACCAAGCCGACGAUCUGUAGCUGGUCUGAGAGGAUGAUCAGCCACACUGGGACUGAGACACGGCCCAGACUCCUACGGGAGGCAGCAGUGGGGAAUUUUGGACAAUGGGCGCAAGCCUGAUCCAGCCAUGCCGCGUGCAGGAUGAAGGCCUUCGGGUUGUAAACUGCUUUUGUACGGAACGAAAAGCCUUCUUUUAAUACAGGAGGGUCAUGACGGUACCGUAAGAACAAGCACCGGCUAACUACGUG
rnacentral:rRNA from 1 species